rnacentral:rRNA from 1 species
UACGUAGGUGGCAAGCGAUACUCGGAAUCACUAGGCGUAAAGCGCAGGUAGGAGGUUUGGUAAGUCUAUUGUGAAAGCUCCCGGCUUUAACUGGGAGAGGUCAAUGGAAACUACCAGGCUAGAGUGCGGUAGAGGUAGCUGGAAUUCCCGGUGUAGCGGUGAAAUGCGUAGAUAUCGGGAGGAAUACCUAUGGCGAAAAGCAGGCUACUGGACCGUCACUGACUCUGAUCUGCGAAAAGCUAGGGGGGAGCAAAACGGGG